rnacentral:rRNA from 1 species
UACGUAGGGGGCUAGCGUUGUCCGGAAUCAUUGGGCGUAAAGAGCGCGUAGGCGGCUAGAUAAGUCCGGUGUGAAAGUCACAGGCUCAACCUGUGAAUGCCGCUGGAAACUGUCUGGCUAGAGUCCGGAAGGGGCGAGUGGAAUUCCUGGUGUAGCGGUGAAAUGCGCAGAUAUCAGGAGGAACACCAAUGGCGAAGGCAGCGCGCUGGGACGGUACUGACGCUGAGGCGCGAAAGCGUGGGGAGCAAACAGG